rnacentral:rRNA from 1 species
CCCUUAGAUGUUCUGGGCUGCACGCGCGCUACACUGAAGCGUUCAACGAGUAUUCACCUUGCCCGGGAGGGUUGGGUAAUCUUUUGAAAACGCUUCGUGAUGGGGAUAGAUUAUUGCAAUUAUUAAUCUUCAACGAGGAAUUCCUAGUAAGCGCGAGUCAUCAGCUCGUGCUGAUUACGUCCCUGCCCUUUGUACACACCGCCCGUCGUUCCUACCGAUUGAGUGAUCCGGUGAAUAAUUCGGACUGCAGCACUGCUUGGUCUCCAGGCUUUGCAGCGGAAAGUUUAGUGAACCUUAUCACUUAGAGGAAGGAGAAGUCGUAACA